rnacentral:rRNA from 1 species
GACGAACGCUGGCGGCGUGCUUAACACAUGCAAGUCGAACGGAAAGGCCCUGCUUUUGUGGGGUGCUCGAGUGGCGAACGGGUGAGUAACACGUGAGUAACCUGCCCUUGACUUUGGGAUAACUUCAGGAAACUGGGGCUAAUACCUGAUAGGAGCUCCUGCUGCAUGGUGGGGGUUGGAAAGUUUCGGCGGUUGGGGAUGGACUCGCGGCUUAUCAGCUUGUUGGUGGGGUAGUGGCUUACCAAGGCUUUGACGGGUAGCCGGCCUGAGAGGGUGACCGGCCGCAUUGGGACUGAGAUAAGGCACAGACUCCUACGGGAGGCAGCAGUGGGGAAUAUUGCACAAUGGGCGGAAGCCUGAUGCAGCAACGCCGCGUGCGGGAUGACGGCCUUCGGGGUGUAAACCGCUUUCGCCUGUGACGAAGCGUGAGUGACGGUAAUGAGUAAAGAAGCACCGGCUAGGUACGUG